rnacentral:rRNA from 1 species
CCUACGGGAGGCAGCAGUGAGGAAUAUUGGUCAAUGGCCGUAAGGCUGAACCAGCCAAGUAGCGUGAGGGAAGACUGCCCUAUGGGUUGUAAACCUCUUUUAUGCGGGGAUAAAGGUGUCCACGUGUGGAUGUUUGCAGGUACCGCAUGAAUAAGGACCGGCUAAUUCCGUGCCAGCAGCCGCGGUAAUACGGAAGGUCCGGGCUUUAUCCGGAUUUAUUGGGUUUAAAGGGAGCGUAGGCCGGUCUUUAGGCGUGCCGUGAAAUUUUGUGGCUCAACCAGGAGAGUGCGGCGCGAACUGGAGACCUGGAGUGCGCGGAAGGCAGGAGGAAUUCGUGGUGUAGCGGUGAAAUGCAUAGAUAUCACGAAGAACCCCGAUUGCGAAGGCAGCUUGCCGAAGCGCUACUGACGCUGAAGCUCGAAAGCGCGGGUAUCGAACAGGAUUAGAUACCCGAGUAGUC